CUGGCCGUGCGGCAUCCACUUCGUACCCGCCCCACGUGACUCAAUUACAGUACCCAGCUUGUGUCGCGCAAGCUAGAGUGCUGAGCUUACGGAACACGCAAGAGGAAGAGCCCCCCGACCCGCAGCUGAUGCGGCUGGACAACAUGCUGAUCGCCGAGGGCGUGGCGGGACCCGAGAAGGGCGGCGGCGCCGGCGCGGCCGCCAAUGCCUCAGCCGCCGCCUCGGCCGGCGGACAGCCCGAAAACGCCAUCGAGCACUCCGACUACCGGGCCAAGCUGGCGCAAAUCCGCCAGAUCUACCACCAGGAGCUCGAGAAGUACGAGCAGGCGUGCAACGAGUUCACGACGCACGUGAUGAACCUGCUGCGCGAGCAGAGCCGGACGCGUCCCAUCACGCCGAAGGAGAUCGAGCGCAUGGUCCAGAUAAUCCACAAGAAGUUCAAUUCCAUCCAGGUGCAGCUCAAGCAGAGCACCUGCGAAGCCGUCAUGAUCCUCCGCUCCAGGUUCCUCGACGCCAGGCGGAAGAGGCGGAACUUCAGCAAGCAGGCGACGGAGAUCCUGAACGAGUACUUCUACUCGCACCUUAGCAACCCGUACCCGUCGGAGGAAGCCAAGGAGGAACUCGCAAGGAAGUGCGGCAUCACUGUCUCUCAGGUGUCUAAUUGGUUCGGCAACAAGCGGAUACGAUACAAGAAGAACAUAGGGAAAGCGCAAGAAGAGGCCAAUCUCUACGCAGCAAAAAAGGCAUUCCCGAAAAAGAAAACAGACAGACAUACGGCCGGCGCGUCAGCCUACAGCAUGGUGCCGACGACGCAGGGUCAGCAGGGUCCUAUGAUAAGCCCACCGCCACCGGGAGCGCCGCAGGACUCAAUGUACAACAUGAGUAUGAACGGCGGAGACUCCUACCAGAACGCCAUGGGCGCCAACGUGCAAUCGCAGCUCUGCAAUUUGGAGACGUGGGCCUGAGGCAGCGGCGGCGGCGAUCGUUGAUGAUGGCUCGCGGGAUGAAGCUCGCCUCUGCUCUUUGGCAGCGCCAGUGUCGCGUCGUCGUCGCCUGCCGACCUAACCGCCGGCUUUUUGUAAAGACAGAAAGACACGUUACGCGGGAGUCGCCCCCCUCCCCCUCCCAUCCCCACCUUGCCUCCGUUUCCUUCUUGCCCCUUUCUUUUUUUCCCUCGCCUCUGCGUCGGCCCAGGAAAAGAAUGCAAAAGAAAGGGGGAAGCGAAGGAAACCACCAAAUGCAAAUACGGACACCAGUGUGCACGCGUGCGUGUGUUUGUUCUCUGCGUGUCUCUGUGUGCGUGCGUGCUCGCGCAACUCUGCCAAGUUUCGGCGAAACGAACACAGAGUGGGGAGAAGACGACGGGACAUCGUCGCAUCGGCGCUCCCUGCAAACGGACGGCAAAAGCGAGGAGGCGCGCUGGCUGGGAACGUGGCGCUGUUCCCUUCUGUGAAGAAAAUGGCGGAGCGUGCGCGGCCCGCGUCGACCUGCCUGCAAGUUCUGCGCGCCGGACCGACGCGAGACCACCGUGCCCGAGGAGGAGGAGGUCCCCACCCACAUCAUCCCCGUGCGACGCGACGACCACCACCGCCGCUGCUGACCCUGCGUGCUGCCGCAGCUCGAACCCCGAGAGUGGGGAAGAAGAAAAUCCGCUUCUGCGUCUUUCGCGUUCCUCUUCACCGCCAUCCAAGAAAACGAGGGGGAGAGAGAAACCCCGACGACUGCACCGGUCGGACGGGAACGACGCGUGUCGCCUCUCCCAGCACGCGCCACCUGCCGCGUGCUCAGGUGUGUGACUGCUGCAUGACACGGUGUUGCGACCGCGGCUCCACUGCCUGCGGCUCUGUACCUGCCCGCCGGCAGGCCUUCCAUCCCAUCCGAAGCUGGACUUGCAAAUACUGUGCUUAUGUUACUUUUUUCCCCGAAGAGCGAGCCCCGUCAUCGUUGUGCACGUCACUACCUGUCGUGUCGCUUACGACGUUAUUGAACUGUUCGUCGUAGGGACUGAAACCAGAGCUACAGGAACUGGGACCGCUUUACGACUUGGCCGCAUAGGGCUGCGUUUGUCCGUGAGCCUCCUUGUGCACCGUUAUCAUCGUUGCCGGGUGCUGAUCGUGUUGCCUUGUGACGUCAUACUAGCGCCAAGUGCGCAGCCCCUCUCCCAUUUCGGCGGCAGUUGUCUGUGUCAAGCGGAGGCGCUCAUCAUCCUCGCUCCUCGAUUUCGCCCGAGUGACUGAAGCUGGUUGCUGCUCCCGCAGGUUACUGUUAUCUUGGCAAAGCUAGCGAAAGUACCUUUCCUUUAUCCUUCAAAGCAGUAGUAGUUUAUAAUAAUAUUUGGGGUUUUAC